rnacentral:rRNA from 1 species
GACGAACGCUGGCGGCGUGCUUAACACAUGCAAGUCGAACGAAGUGGCGAACGGGUGAGUAACGCGUAAUCAACCUGCCCUUCAGAGGGGUACAACAGUUGGAAACGACUGCUAAUACCGCAUACUGAAGGAGGGGAUUGCGUCGGAUUCGCUAGGUGGGUGGGUAACGGCCCACCAAGGCGAUGAUCAGUAGACUGGCCGAGAGGAUGAACGGCCACAUUGGGAAUGAGAAACGGCCCAGACUCCUACGGGAGGGAGCAGUGGGGGAACUUCCGAAAUGGAGGAAAGUCUGACGGAGCAAAGCCGGGUGAGGGAUGGCGGCCUUCGGGUUGUAAAGCUCUGUUAAUCGGGACGCGGUACCGGAAGAGAAAGCAACGGCUAACUACGUGCCAGCAGCCGCGGUAAUAC